rnacentral:rRNA from 1 species
AGAUUGAACGCUGGCGGCAUGCCUUACACAUGCAAGUCGAACGGAAAGGCCCGCUUGCGGGUACUCGAGUGGCGAACGGGUGAGUAACACGUGGGCAACCUGCCCUCAGCUCUUGGAUAACUCCGGGAAACCGGUGCUAAUACUGGAUAUCAACUUUGCCUCGCAUGGGGUGUUGUUGAAAGUUUUUCGGCUGGGGAUGGGCCCGCGGCCUAUCAGCUUGUUGGUGGGGUGAUGGCCUACCAAGGCGACGACGGGUA